CACGUAGGGCGCAAGCGUUGUCCGGAAUUAUUGGGCGUAAAGAGCUCGUAGGCGGUCUGUUGCGUCCGCUGUGAAAUCUCGGGGCUUAACCCCGAGCCUGCAGUGGAUACGGGCAGACUAGAGGUAGGUAGGGGAGAAUGGAAUUCCCGGUGUAGCGGUGAAAUGCGCAGAUAUCGGGAGGAACACCGGUGGCGAAGGCGGGUCUCUGGGCAGUAACUGACGCUGAGGAGCGAAAGCGUGGGGAGCGAACAGG
rnacentral:rRNA from 1 species